rnacentral:pre_miRNA from 1 species
GCAGGAGAGAGAGGGGGGCUACAGGGAUUCUUGUCGCCGGAGAGAUAGCACCUACUACCUCUUAAUUGCAUUAACUAAGUUGUGCAUAAAUAACGCCGUAAGCGCCAUCUCCCGGUGACAAGACUCCCUUCAUCCUCUAUAUAUAUAUAUCAA